rnacentral:lncRNA from 1 species
AGGGUUGAUGGGAGCCGCUAGCAUUUUCACUAGGACACAUUCAGCUCCCACCUGAGGAAGAUCCAGAGACUCCAACCUGUCAAUCAUGCAGGAAACCGGACUUUCCCUGAGAGCCUUGUGUCGACUGCUGGGCUUUGACGGGGCAGUUUGCCACCAUAUGUGCGACACUUUGGCAGAAAUGGCAUCUUUUGGGUUGGGGAGGAAGUUUGCACUCCUUGGCGUGGUGGUCCAGACCGCCACAGUUGUAGCACCUGCGGAAACAAUGCAAGAAUUUCCACAUUAAUAAAGAAGUACAGAUGAAAUCAA